AAGGGUGCCGGGAACUUACACAUGAGUCUUUUAGCUAACUGAAGGUUUUCUCUGAAUAGACUGUUGCUGUACUGCCACGUUUUUGUCUGUUACCAUACCAGAGCAAACAGUAUAAUGGUAUGGGGCCACCUGGAGCUAAAGAGUUCAAGAGUGACAUUAAGAGGUUGAAUGGAUAAAU